UAGGGAAUCUUCGGCAAUGGACGAAAGUCUGACCGAGCAACGCCGCGUGAGUGAAGAAGGUUUUGGAUCGUAAAACUCUGUUGGUAGAGAAGAACGUUGGUGAGAGUGGAAAGCUCAUCAAGUGACGGUAACUACCCAGAAAGGGACGGCUAACUACGUGCCAG
rnacentral:rRNA from 1 species